rnacentral:rRNA from 1 species
UAGAGGAAGUAAAAGUCGUAACAAGGUCUCCGUUGGUGAACCAGCGGAGGGAUCAUUACUGAGUUUACGCUCUAUAACCCUUUGUGAACAUACCUAUAACUGUUGCUUCGGCGGGUAGGGUCUCCGCGACCCUCCCGGCCUCCCGCCUCCGGGCGGGUCGGCGCCCGCCGGAGGAUAAACCAAACUCUGAUUUAACGACGUUUCUUCUGAGUGGUACAAGCAAAUAAUCAAAACUUUUAACAACGGAUCUCUUGGUUCUGGCAUCGAUGAAGAACGCAGCGAAAUGCGAUAAGUAAUGUGAAUUGCAGAAUUCAGUGAAUCAUCGAAUCUUUGAACGCACAUUGCGCCCGCCAGCAUUCUGGCGGGCAUGCCUGUUCGAGCGUCAUUUCAACCCUCAAGCUCUGCUUGGUGUUGGGGCCCUACAGUUGAUGUAGGCCCUCAAAGGUAGUGGCGGACCCUCCCGGAGCCUCCUUUGCGUAGUAACUUUACGUCUCGCACUGGGAUCCGGAGGGACUCUUGCCGUAAAACCCCCCAAUUUUCCAAAGGUUGACCUCGGAUCAGGUAGGAAUACCCGCUGAACUUAAGCAUAUCAAUAAGCGGAGG